GCCAAGAAAAACAAAUGCUAAUGGAAUUUACCACCACUUUUCCUACCUGGGAAAGGAUAUCAGUAACUGCAUGAAAAUAGAGAAAUUAUAAAACUCACUGAUUCUUGAUUCUAAAAGGCAUAUGAUCAACAAUUCUAAAGAUAGUCCUUAGGAAACUGAAGAAAUAGGUCCGUGUAAGCAAUCUUAAAAAGGUCUUCAUCAUUAUUUGUUCUGAUUCUGGGUACCAAAAGGCAUGGUAUGGACAACCCCAAAAUAGGUGA